rnacentral:lncRNA from 1 species
AAAGGAAACGGAACAGGUCUGAGGGGUGCAGAAGAGAGAGCACAGCAAUCAUGUAAGAGACGGGAAGAGUGGUCCCAGCCCCCCUCCCGGCCCACUAGGUCUAGGAAUACAAAGAUGAAAUAUAGAUUUCAGUAAUAAUUCAGGAAUAUCGGAUGGAAGAGUGUAUUAGCCGUGUGGAGCUUUGGAAGUGCCCAACCAUUGAGCUGAUUGAGGCAUAUUAAAUAUAAGGCUGUGUGUGUGGAACUCCAGUCUAGGACUCGGGCGGCUUCACUUCUCUCUUCGAUUCUGAAGCUUCUAGUUCCAUGAAUCCAUCCACUGGUUUCUUUGUCUCUCUGGCUACCAUCAGCUAUUACGAGGAUCUACUCUGCUUCUAGUCAGGCAAGCCAAUCUACUAAGCCAGUCUCUGGUUGUAAAGCCAACCUGCUGGGCCAGCUCAGGUGGAAUCUCCACUCAGAACUCUCCCCACUGUCACUGAGGGGUUAGCUGGGGCGUCAUGCAGACUCACAUGGUUAAAACACACUAGUUUCUGCACUGCUGAAGAAUAGGGUGAGGUCGUUACUCUCACCUGAACUGUGGAAGAUGAAGACAAAUAGUGAUACCCAGCCGGACACUGUGCAGAGAGUGAGAGAUCUUGGGACAUUCAGCCCUAAUGGGAUAACUCCAGCAAAUCCAUCUCAACAGGUCCCGGGGAACUCGGUGGAAGAGGAGGCAGAGAGACUGUAAGAACCAAAGGGAGGGAGGACACCAAGGAAGGAAGGCCUCUUAAACACAGCAGGAUGGAUGCACGUAUGAACUACAGAGAUGGUGGCAGCAUGCAUAUAGCCUGCACAGGUCAACGGAUGGGACCCCAGAGCUGAGUGGAGAUGGACAGAAACUCCCAAACCUAACCCAGAAGCUGUCUCCAAUACAUAAAAAUUAGUGAAAUGGUGGCAUCUUGAAUCUUGGAAGUAACCCAUAAAGCUCCAACUUGAUUUAAGGCCUACUCAAUAGGCAAAGAACUCAUGCCUACUGUUAUAAAUCUAGCCAACUACUUGUAGCGGCUGAGGUCAUGAGCCCUAGAGGAGAACCUAUUACUGACACUUUCCCAGAACAGCAUUUAAUUUGGAAACACAUUAACAUGCAUUCCACCGAGGAAACCUUAUGGAAAACCUAUGAAAGAUAACAUUCUAUGCCCUAUUUAACAGAUUACAGACAAGGAUAAGCAGCAGCAGCUGGUGGCUCUGCGGGCCUCAUUAGGCAGAAAAGGGCCUGAAUAGGGCUUGAUGUAGGCUGAGGAAGUAGCAAAUGAUGAAUCUCCUUCAACCUCAGCUGGCGCUUUGCAGGGGAAGGGUGGCCAGGGGGGCCAACUGUAGCAAUCACUUAACUGCCACCAGAUCCUUGCGGCUCAGCAGGAAGGAUGGAUGCUUAAAGCUUUCUUCCUUUUGGUGAAGAGAAAAAGAUUAUUUUCCUGUGAUGGGAAGACGGAACAUGUUUUGAACUCUGGAACUGUAGAAAGACCUAGCACCCGAGAACGCGAUGAAUGGAGCAAGAACUCCCUGAACUGCUCACAAGCCGCCUGUUCUCCUUCCUGGGCACCCGGCUCUCACUCCCACCCACCACCCGCCACAGUGGCUCCUGCCUCUAGGUUCCUGUCCUGUUUUGAAUUCCUGCCCUGACUGCCUUCGAUGAUGAUGAUGAAGAAGAACUGUGAUACGGAAAAGUAGGCUAAGUAGACCUUUCCUUCCCAAGUUGCUUUUGGUCACGGAGUUUCAUCUCAACAAUAAAAACUCUAGCCAUGACAUUGGAAUUUUAAUAAAGGGAGAAAAACUAUGACCCACAUCACUGACCUGGAGCACUGUUGUUUACUCCUAUCAAAUCUAUCACAUGUACUUCUGAGGUGAGCAGGUGUCUGUCUGUAAGCUUUAAGUGCUGUUAGCAAGACCAGAGGGACCAGAGGCUAGCAUUUUACAUAACAUCCUGUGGGGAGCGGGUGUGGCGGUUGUCCCAAGAUGGUGCCCGGGACUGCAGCCUGACUUCCUCAUACACCCGGAAAUAAGCCAUGUCCAUCGUGAGAGCUGCGCAGGCGCACCAUGACCUAAGAUCAGGGCAUUUGACGAAGGCCAAUGAACUGAGAUUACGUGGACUGGGCUGAUGGGGCAUGGUUGAGGGGUUAUGUAAGGGAUUGCGAUUGGGGGCUAGAGGAGAGUCCUGCUUGCAUGUCGGAAGGUUCCUGAAUAAACUGAUUUGAGAAGAACUCUGUGUUGUCACUCU